AACGAACGCUGGCGGCAGGCUUAAUAUAUGCAAGUCGAGCGCCCCGCAAGGGGAGCGGCAGACGGGUGAGUAACGCGUGGGAACGUACCCUUUGCUACGGAAUAGCUCCGGGAAACUGGAAUUAAUACCGUAUGUGCCCUACGGGGGAAAGAUUUAUCGGCAAAGGAUCAGCCCGCGUUGGAUUAGCUAGUUGGUGGGGUAAUGGCCUACCAAGGCGACGAUCCAUAGCUGGUCUGAGAGGAUGAUCAGCCACAUUGGGACUGAGACACGGCCCAGACUCCUACGGGAGGCAGCAGUGGGGAAUAUUGGACAAUGGGCGCAAGCCUGAUCCAGCCAUGCCGCGUGAGUGAUGAAGGCCUUAGGGUUGUAAAGCUCUUUCAGUGGGGACGAUAAUGACGGUACCCACAGAAGAAGCCCCGGCUAACUUCGUGCCAGCCGCCGCAGUAAGAC
rnacentral:rRNA from 1 species